rnacentral:lncRNA from 10 species
CCUCACUGCCCAUUAUUCCCAGGCUCCAGCCACCCUGGACCUCUCUCUCUCCCAAGGCCUCACCACACUUGCUUCCAAGUGAGGGUCUUAGCACUGUGAUGUCCUCUGUAUGGAAUACUCUGUCCCAAGUCUUUGCAGAGCUGGCUCUGGGUCACGAGGUCUCUGUUCAAACAUCACCUCCACCAACCACUUUAUAUCCAGGAGCCCUCUAUCCCAUUAUCCUGUUUGAUUUCUUCCAUUGUAUUUCCUGUGGUUGACAUUGUAGGUUGGCUGACUGACCUUCACCAUCAGUGCCUGCCCAAGACCAUGGGAACCCACCUCUUGCAUCAGUGAGACCUGGAUGUGAGACAUGGAGUCAAAGGAGAUCAUUUUGGGGCUUUAAGAUUUGACUGCCCCGUUGGAUUUUGAACUUGCAUGGAACAUUUAGCCCCUUCAUUUUGGCCAAUUUCUCCCAUUUGGAAUGGGUGUAUUUAUCCAAUGCCUGUACCCCCAUUGUAUCUAGGCAGUAAUUAACUUGCUUUUGAUUUUACAGGCUCAUAGGCAGAAGGGACUUGCCUUGUCUCAGAUGAGACUUUGGACUAUGAACUUUUGAAUUAAUGCUGAAAUGAGUUAAGACUUUGGGGGACGGUUGGGAAGGCAUGAUUAGUUUUAAAAUGUGAGGACAUGAGAUUUGGGAGGGGCUGGGAGCAGAGUAAUAAGUUUUGGCUGUGUCCCCACCCGAAUCUCAUCUUGAAUUAUAGCUCCCAUAAUUCCCAUGUGUUGUGGGAGGGACCCAGUGGGAGAUGACUGAAUCAUGGGGGUGGUUCCCCCAUACUGUUCUCAUGGUAGUGAAUAAGUCUCAUGAGUUCUGAUGGUUUUAUAAGGGGUUUCCCCUUUUGCUUGGCUUUCAGUCUCUCCUGCCUGCUGCCAUGUAAGACAUGCCUUUUGCCUUCUGCCAUGAUUGUGAGGCCUCCCCAGCCACAUGAACUGGUCUCACUCUGUCACCCAGGCUGGAGUGCGGUGGCACAAUCACGGAUCACUACCACCUCAACUUCCUGGGCUCAAGCGUUCCUCCCAUCUCGGCCUCCGGAGUAGCUGGGACUAUAAGCAUGCACCACCACACCCGGCCUCAUUCAACAACCUACUAUGUGUCAUGUAGAGAGGGAUCUGACAGAGAAACAGUAAGUAGUGCCUUAACUGAAAUGGUCACACUGGGUGAUUCCAAGGGACCCCACAGUUUUUCUUUCCUAAUUGCCUUGCAACAAAGUAGACGCCAGCCCCAAAUUUCAGAUCCCGCAUGACUUAGUUCAUGACCAACACUACUGCUACUAGCUAAUAUUUUCCGGUAUCUAUUCUUUACUAGACACUCUGCUGAGACCACUUUACCAACUACAGCCAAUACCACUCAUUAGGAACUUAACAUCUAUUUCUCUCUUCUCUUUCACAAAAAAAACCUCACUUUUAUUCAGGUGGCACCAGAGGGCACAGGCACCGCAAUUUGACUAUUAGCAUCCAAACGUAUGCCCUGAUGGACACAGAGGUACUAUUUCAUUCAUUUCUCAGAAGUCAGUGAGACAGAGGUUAAUGUCAUUUCCAUUUUACAGUGGAGCAGACUGAGGUUUGGAGAGUACAUGAAUUGCUUCUAACUGAUGAAGGUAGAAUGUGAAUCCAAGCAAUUGGAUUCUGGAACCUAUGUUCUUUCUAUUCUUUUGGUCUUUCCCCAUUUGUACAGACAGCACAUAUAAACAUUCUUGAAUUUAACCCUCCCAAGAACUUGGCAGGUGGUGUAACAGGUAAGGUUUUCGAAUAUCUGCUGAUAUAUGUUCUCUAAUCUGUCUGCUGGCUUCACUCUCUGAGUCACCUCUCUCUUCACUUUUAAGGCUAACGUCUUGCAGCCCAGUGGAGUGGAGAGUGUAGAAAAAGAGACAGAGAAAGGCAAGAAGCGGUCAGCUGUGUCGGGAUCUAGGCACAACUCCUAGGAGGCGAGUGUUAGGGCUUGGAGAAAGUCAAAAGCAGAACAGCUUUUGCAUCAUUUUCCAUGUGACGUUCUGGAAACAGACAACAUUAAAAUCAGCUUACAACAGAGUUAGGCAGAGGGAGGGCUCAAAUUUUGCAUCCAGAAGUUUCCAGAAUGUUCCAGGUAGCCUACGGAGGGAUCUAUAGAAGGUGCUGAUGGUGAUAAUAAGUGAGACUGAUUGAACUUGCUGUAGGAAGGGUGCAGUAGCUCUCAAACUGAGAGCUACAUGGUGACGAGAAAUGAGACAGGGGCAAAAGGUUCAUGGCAACCAGACCCCAGAUGAAAUUUGGCACCAGAAAGAGCCAAGGUAGGGCUGGUCAGUGGGAAGAUGCCUUGAGUGGACUAAGUUGACCACCAGCUGUCCAGGAGCCUACCAGUUGUAGACCCAGCAACUGUGGCCUGCUGGGACAGUGUUGGGGCAAGGGACCAUAUUGUCACAGAGGUCAGCAAGGGCCUCCUGAGCAGUAUUCCGAAACAUUGGGUUCUCUUCUAUAUAUCCCGAAUGCCACCUUGAUGAGACAGAGGAGGGGAAGGAAAUCUGAAAUGACAAAGUCUCUCAAACCAAGAUAAUAUGGCAAUAUCAUUCAUUGGCAGGUUCUAGUUCCUCUAGAUCAAUGAUGACCUUAUGGGCAAAACUUGGGAGGAAGAUUGGUGCAGUUAUGGAACAUCCAGAAGCAACCUUUGCUUUGCACAGCUGAGCUGUGAAGGGAGCGUGUGCUACUGUUUAGUCCUGGUACACAGAAUUCCUACUUUCUCCAGAUUAUAGCAGACAAGCAAACUGGAAGUCACUGUGAAAACCACCUACCUUCUCUGAGCCUCAAUUUCCUUGCUUUUAAAAUGGGAAUAAUAAGGGCCACCUCCCAGGAUUAUGAGGGUAAAAUGAAGAUCGGCGCCAUGAAUAGCAUGACAAAGGUCACAUGCUAGACAUGGGACCGUAAGGCUCUCCCUGCCUUCCACCCCACUGUCUUCCCAUGGACGCUGUCAUGAGAGACACCUAGAGCCAACUGGGACCUGAAUGGCAGCUUGGUGACAGGAAAGAGACAGGCCUCAUUUUAAUGCUUGUGGAGAACCUAGGUGAGGAUCAUCUUGUCACCAGUUGGUGUUUAUUGACACUUAGUAGACUGACUGACUGACUGACUGACUGAAUGAAUGAAUGACAAGGCCUUUACUAGGGACUACGGGAGUCUUAGACACCAAGUGUUGUCAUGUGAGGCUCCAGCGUGUUUUGGUGGGAUCACCUAAAUGGCAGAAGUCAUUUUUUCAGUCUCAUAAGUCUCAUAAGGUGACAGUUCAGAUGUCACCUCCUCCAGGAAGACUUCCGUGAUACUCCCAGUCUGGUUUAGUCACUACUGAGUGCUCCUAUCACUGCACUAUAUGGAUUAGUCUGUCCAUUGAGGUUUUCUCACUUGAUGGUGAGUUCUUAGAGGCAAGAUUACGUCUCAUUUCCUCUCCCCGUGUGCCUAGCACAAGGUUCGGCCCAAGGUGGGCAUGUAGGAGAUCAUAGGAGCCAUUUAUUGAGUGCUUUCAGGUACCUGGUGCUGGGCUAAGUGCUUUAGCUAUGAUAUCCUUGAUUCCUUCAAUAACCUCAGGAGCUAGGGCCACCUCAUCAUGCCAUUGUACAGGUAGAAAAGGUGAGGCUCAGAGACGCUAAGCAGCCUGAUAUUUCUUCCUUGUUUCUAUAUCUUUCUUUGCCAGACUGCCUGGCCUAGAUUCUUGAGGUUUGGGAAUAGCAUAAACCUCAGGGUGUUGAGGCGGUCUGGUUGGCUUGGUGCGUGGGUAGGAAGAUGCAACAAUGAAGAAAGAGUACAUGCUAGCAGCUGGCAUCCACAGUGCAUGCCAGACACAGGACCACAGCACCGAGACCACCCGAGGAGAAAUGCCUCGUGGCCUCUGAAUGGGGAGUGUUAACCACACAUUCUAUAGGACCCAUCUGCUAACUGAUUUGGAACAAAUGGGUGCUUGAGAGCUUGUGCUGUUAACAUGUAUGCAUGAUGCUUCUGGCAGAAAGAAUGGGGAAAACAAAACCCAAAGUCCCCUCCAAAUCCCAGCAACACAUAUGGAAGUACGCAGAGGUGAGCAGACAUAAGAUGUAGACAGCAACACAAAAAUAUCAGCACCAUAGUCAAGAAGGAAGAACAGUGCAACACCCAUUGCAUAUCCCAUUUUAAAAAUAAAAUAAAAUGAGGCCACAAGUUUGCUUUUCCAAGGAGCCCCACAGUCUCCAGAAGUCUCCCAGAGGACCCGUUCCUUUGCGGGCCUUUCCUGCCCAAGCUCCGGGCUACCCGUAAAUCUGACCCUCUCCAGGGCCAGGAGGCCUCAAGAGCUUGGAGACUCACCGGAGCAAACAACUUAGCAAAAACAAUCUGUCCCAUAAACAAAGCCAGUGGAAAGCAUCCAGGCCCACACAAUGGAGCUAAUCUUCUGGGCACACAUUUCCCGUCUGGGGUAUUAGCAAGGAUACCGCUUCCUUCUAGGUGGAGGUAAACGCUGCUUGGCCUACGGGUCCAAGAACAACAAUCCUCUGUAGAUUCCCCCCUUGUUUGAAACGUAACAGGCAGGAAUUCAGAAGCAAGGAGCUGUUCUUCCCCCCUUCCUUUCUUUUCUUAAAGAAGCACUGCAAAUUUAAAGGCCAGGGAACUUAUGGGGAAGGACAUGCUUUAUGAACCACACAACCACACAAGUCUCUGAUUUAGCUCAUUCACUGAUGAGCCCUGUGAUUUGGGACAACUGAUUUAACUUCCCAGAACCAUAACUUCCCCAUGGUUCAAGUGAGAUUGCCUACAGAUGUCCAAUCCUGCUUGUUCUCAUGGAGGUAUAAAAUUAAAAUGUUGAAUGGCCACUAUCAAAAACAAGAAAACAAACCCAGUGGCCAGGUGCGGUGGCGCACACCUGUAGUCCCAGCACUUUAGGAGGCCCAGGUGGGCGGAUCACCAGAGGUCAGGAGUUCAGACUAGUCUGGCCAACGUGGUGAAAAUCCAUCUCUACUAAAAAUACAAACUUAGCCCGGCGUGGUGGCGGGUGCCUGUAAUCCCAGCUACUUGGGAGGCUGAGGCAGGAGAAUUGCUUGAACCCAGGAGGCUAAAGUUGCAGUGAGCUGAGAUCACGCCAUUGCACUCCAGCCUGGGCAACAAGAGCACAACUCCAUCUCAAAAACAAACAAACAACCCAGAAAAUAACACGUGUUGGUGAGGAUGUGCAGAAAUCAGGACCCUUGUGCACUGUUGGUGGGAAUACAAGAUGGGUCAGCAUCAUGGAAAACAGUAUGGAGUUUCCUCAAAAAAUUAAAAAUAGAAUUACCAUGUGAUCCAGCAGACCCACUUCUGGAUAUA